GGGUGGGGCAAUUCCUGGGACAGGUUACCUUAGCAACAGGUUGGCGCUGGGGUAGGUUCUUGAUUAGGGUGGAGGAAGGGCUCUGAAGGAAUUAGCAUUUCAAUCCUUCAGGGGGCAGUCUCACUCAAAAUGGGCCUCCUUGAUCCACCUGACUCCAUUUACCUACCUAUACUGACAGCCUGUCUUAAUUCCGGCUUCAGGGACACUGUGGCCUAAUGAUAUCCCAGUUACCAUGAGGAGUCCUGCUUCCCCAAACGCUGAAGUAUAAUACCAGAGAAGCACGCAGAGGCAAGUGUAGAGUGGAACGUAAAAGGCUUUAUUAAAGGAUAGCGGAGAAGACUUCCCCCAAGGAAGAAGGGGAUGAAAGGCUGUAUCUUGGGAUGGGGAGGUCGUAUCCCUUUUAUAUCUAAAGUCUUCUUUUGUCCUCCUACAUUCCUGUCCUUUAUCUUGCUUAUUUCCCUCUAUCCUGCAUGUGAUGGGGGAUGCAGGUGGGAAGGCCAAAGAUGGAAAACUGGUGGGCCUAUUAACAUUUCAGGCUCCCAGGUGUAGUUCUGAUUUCCCCAGGCUCAGAUUGGAUGCCAUUUUCUUUAAUAGACUCAAUAUCAGACCAAUUUGCCUAUCUACACUAACUACUUGACUUUAAAUCUGGAUUCACCAAGAACUCAGACCUCUCAGUCUUUGAUUUCUUGUUAUCAAAGGUGAACACACCUGGACAAUCCUUCCCUUCCUCCUGAGGGCAGAUGAAUCCUUUCUCCUACUUUCUUGCCUAUCCAUGUCGUUUGAAUCGGUCUGGAUGUUAUCUUGCUUUUCCUUCACCAGCAAAUGAGAGUUAAGCUAGGCCAGUGCCUGUACUAUAGACCCAGCUGUCUUAGACUAAGUAAGAUAAAAUAGGAAGCAAGAAGCCUGGCUGCCUUGGGCUUCUAGCUCAAAGCGCAUUGUACAAUCUAGUUUGUAUCAGGGAUAAAUGGGGGUGGUUAUCCUCUUCUGAGAUUAUUCAUAAAAUUGUCAAAUUCUUACAAAGCCCUUUUUCUCUGAGUGGAGCUAUAUGUAGUAGGAAGACUGGAUCCUCAUUCAAAGUCUUUACUGCAGUUUCACGUUUUUAAUAUUCGGUUUUCCCCUGCCAAUAAUGAUUGCCAUACUAGGCACUGUGCUAAGGCUAUACUUUUACUUCAAUCUUUGCAUUGACCUUAUUUUGGUAGGUAGUAUUAUCCCUGUUUUACAGAGGAGGUAAUUGAGGUUUAGAUAAAUUGCAAGAUCACAAUGGUAGUAGGUAAGUAUUGGGCAGCUAGUAUGGCCAAAGCCAGAAUCAGGAUUUGACCCCAAGACUACCUGAAGCUCAAAACUUUGGCAUCAUUUUUUCUUUUCAUCAAUAGUCAAAUCUUCAACCAGACUGGAUCUCUUCUUCUGUCUUCACAGUCUCUUAAAAGCACCAGUCCCUAGGCUGGGGUUCUGGCUCAGUGGUAGAGCGCUUGCCUCGCAUGCAUGAGGUCCUGGGUUUGAUCCUCAGCACCACAUAAAAAUAAAUAAAUAAAAAUAAAAAAGAGUAGCAGUCCCCUUUCUAAUGUUAUUUUCACUAUCCUAAUUCAAGAGCCUCCUGUAGCUUGCCUGGUUUUUGUAAAAUCCUCAUUACAGUUUCUAUCUUUUUGAAUCCAGUCUGUUUACUGCUGCCAGGUUAAUUUUCCUAACAGCACAUCUGGGGAAUAACCUUGUGGUUAUGACAAAAUUCCCAAAGGAAAGCAAACCUGGUAAUGUGGGAGAAUUAUGAAGACUUAUGAGAACUUCAGAGAGGUAAAUUAGCUACUCAACUCAUCUCUUAUUCCUCCCUGGGUGCAAUUUAAAGCAAAAAGAAUGAAGUCAUUAUGGAGAAAAAGGUCCACAAGGAGUAUUCUUAAAAAUGUAGUAGAAGAGACAGGAGGUGAGUACCACUGUGUUUAUGGGCUUUCCUCUUAUUUUUAUUUUAAAAAUUAAGUGUUAUAAAUAUUAAAUAAAAAUAUUUUAAAAUGAACUACUUUA
rnacentral:lncRNA from 1 species